GGUGAACCUGCGCAGGGAUCAUUA
rnacentral:rRNA from 1 species